rnacentral:rRNA from 1 species
GUACACGCUGUGACUAGCAUAUCAAUAAGCGGAGGAAAAGAAACUAACAGGGAUUCCCCUAGUAACGGCGAGUGAAGCGGGAAGAGCUCAAAUUUGAAAUCUUAAAGGGUUUCCCUUUACGAAUUGUAGUUUAAAGAAGUGUUUUCUGUUGAGGCUUUGGUAAAAGUUCUUUGGAAUAGGACAUCAUAGAGGGUGAGAAUCCCGUAUUUGACCUUUACUUUCAACUUUGUGAUACACUUUCAAAGAGUCGGAUUGUUUGGGAAUGCAGUCCAAAAUGGGUGGUAAAUUUCAUCUAAAGCUAAAUAUUGGCGAGAGACCGAUAGCGAACAAGUACCGUGAGGGAAAGAUGAAAAGAACUUUGAAAAGAGAGUUAAACAGUACGUGAAAUUGUCAAAAGGGAAGCGUUUGACACCAGUGUUGUUUUUCUGAAAAUCAAUUAAAGAACUGUUUAUGCUAAGCUGUUUAGACUUUAUCAGCUAUCUGUUUAGUUUUGAGCUUUUCUUUAAUGCACUUUUCAGUUAACAAGUCAACAUCAAUUUCUUUUGCUGUAAAAAAGCUUGAGGAAGGUGGCUUGAGAUUCGUCUUAAGUGUUUAUAGCCUCUUGCCUAUGCAGUCGGAGAGAUUGAGGUCUGCAGCGUAGAUCCUUCGGGGCUAAAUGCAUUUGUGCUAAGUUAUAGCAUUUUAUAGACAACUUGUUGACUAUGAUUUGUCUUGUAGCUUACUCGCUUAUGUUAUUUUACCUACGCUUAGGAUGUUGACGAGACUGUCGAUCUC